AUCCAUUGUUCAGUUGGUAAAGCACAAAGCUCUUAACCUUGUGGACGUGGGUUCAAGCCCUAUGAUGGAUG
rfam:Triticum aestivum genome assembly, contig: Triticum_aestivum_CS42_TGACv1_scaffold_556996_7AL